UACGUAGGGGGCAAGCGUUGUCCGGAAUCAUUGGGCGUAAAGAGCGUGUAGGCGGCCCGAUAAGUCCGCUGUGAAAGUCCAGGGCUCAACCCUGGGAUGCCGGUGGAUACUGUCGGGCUCGAGUCCGGAAGAGGAGUGUGGAAUUCCUGGUGUAGCGGUGAAAUGCGCAGAUAUCAGGAGGAACAUCGGUGGCGAAGGCGGGUCUCUGGGCCGUAACUGACGCUGAGGAGCGAAAGCGUGGGGAGCGAACAGG
rnacentral:rRNA from 1 species